CUGGCGGCAUGCCUAAGACAUGCAAGUCGAACGAAGUAGCCUAAUGAAGAUUGAGUGCUUGCACGAUUCUGAUUAGAUUUCUACUUAGUGGCAGACGGGUGAGUAACACGUGGGUAACCUACCUAGAGACUGGGAUAACAGUUAGAAAUGAUUGCUAAUACCGGAUGAUUCAUAGUUAGAUAACUAAUUAUGCUAAAAGGAGCAUUUGCUUCACUUUAAGAUGGGCUUGCGUUGUAUUAGUUAGUUGGUGGGGUAAUGGCCUACCAAGACAACGAUGCAUAUCCGAGCUGAGAGGCUGAUCGGACACACUGGGACUGAGACACGGCCCAGACUCCUACGGGAGACAACAGUUAGGAAUAUUCGUCAAUGGGGGAAACCCUGAACGAGCAAUGCCGCGUGAGUGAUUAAGGUCUUAUAGAUUGUAAAACUCUGUUGUAAAGAAAGAAACCUUAAGAUAGGAAAUGAUCUUAAGCUGACGGUACUUUACCAGAAAGCCCCGGCUAACUACGUGCCAGCCGCGGC
rnacentral:rRNA from 1 species